rnacentral:lncRNA from 13 species
CAGGAUCGGGGCAGUGUUGUUAGACGGGCCCGGUUUUUUGCGCAUGCGUGGCUACAAUUAGCGCUGUAACUGGUGUACCGAGAAAGGGGCGCGUUGCGGGUUCGUCAUAUGAUUAGGAUAGGGUAAGUUUGCAGAAUUCCAAAAUUGGUAUGGGUUACCAAAGAUCUCCUUUCUGUCACUAAGAUCUACUUUACUGAAGCCUCAUUUGACGCGCAUGCGUGAAAAACCGGGCCCGUCUAACAACACUGGAUCGGGGAUGAAUGUAUGCGCGUGCAUGUAUAGCGAGUGGGACGUGAUCACGUGAUUAACC